GAUGAAGAACGCAGCGAAAUGCGAUAAGUAAUGUGAAUUGCAGAAUUCCGUGAAUCAUCGAAUCUUUGAACGCACAUUGCGCCCUCUGGUAUUCCGGGGGGCAUGCCUGUCCGAGCGUCAUUUGCAACCCUCAAGCCCGGCUUGUGUGAUGGGUGCCGUCCCCUACGGGACGCGCCCCGAAGGCAAUGGCGGCGUCGCGGUUAUCCGAUCAGCCAAAGUGUAUGGGGCUUUGUCACUCACUUUACGGCCCGGACCGGCGCCAGUCCGAAUCAAUCUUUUUUCUAAAGUUGACCUCGGAUCAGGCAGGGAUACCCGCUGAACUUAAGCAUAUCAAUAACCGGAGGA
rnacentral:misc_RNA from 1 species